rnacentral:rRNA from 1 species
GGUAGUGGGGACGAACGUUUCUUAAAUAGAACGCUAAUACCGCAUACGUCCUACGGGAGAAAGCAGGGGACCUUCGGGCCUUGCGCUAUCAGAUGAGCCUAGGUCGGAUUAGCUAGUUGGUGAGGUAAUGGCUCACCAAGGCGACGAUCCGUAACUGGUCUGAGAGGAUGAUCAGUCACACUGGAACUGAGACACGGUCCAGACUCCUACGGGAGGCAGCAGGG